rnacentral:tRNA from 1 species
UGGCGGAUCGUCCAAUGGCAGGACAACGGUUUUUGAUGCCGUGAAUCUAGGUUCGAAUCCUAGUCCGCCAG